UACAGAGGGUGCAAGCGUUAAUCGGAAUUACUGGGCGUAAAGGGUGCGUAGGUGGGUAAAUAAGUUGGACGUGAAAGCCCCGGGCUCAACCUGGGAUGGUCGUCCAAUACUGUUUGCCUAGAGUAUGGUAGAGGGUAGUAGAAUUUCCGGUGUAGCGGUGAAAUGCGUAGAUAUCGGAAGGAAUAUCAAUGGCGAAGGCAGCUACCUGGGCCAAUACUGACACUGAGGCACGAAAGCAUGGGGAGCAAACAGG
rnacentral:rRNA from 1 species